rnacentral:lncRNA from 1 species
GCAGACAUCAAAUCUGUGGGCACUCCAUUGUUGGUCCAUCAUGGCAGUCCAUUGUGCCAACAACACUCGGACAAAUCCGCAAUUGCUACAAAGACUAAUCAUCUUAAAUUAUGAGUUAUACAAUCGAUUGGACGGAUUACAUUUUCAGAAAGUAUAUAUACAUAUAUAGCUCCUGUAGAAUGAUGAACAUAAAAGAGCCUCGGAGCAUUAUUCGCGCGUUCCAUCUUCUAGAACCGGCCAGUACCUUUCCUAUCAGCAGCGCGGUGGCAGUCCCUUGAUUUGAUUAUAGGUAACGGAGCAGUCCGAUCCCUACGGGGCGUGUGUGCGGAAUGGAGGGCGCAGGAGCCUUGGCGAGGCAGCAUCGCCUCCUGUUAUGAUUUGGAAAAUUAUGAGGCUAUGAAUGAACAAAUUAAAAUGCACGAGAGAACAAGGGAAUACAGAGGUAAUAACUGUACUGUUAUUAGACAGACAACCUGCACGAUGGAUCUCCAUCAAAUCCAUCGGAAGCAGCAGGCCACCGUUUACAUGGAACACCAUGAUCAGGAUGACAAGCAACCCAAUAAAAAACUGGCAUGCAGUAGGUAACAUUCUUUCUGAAUCGGGGUGAGCUAGCUCCGCGCCUUUGUCAGUGCAAAACCUAGUAGUUAGUUAGCAGCGAGUUGGAACGAACAUUUGGC